rnacentral:lncRNA from 1 species
GCCAACCCAUUUACUAAAGCUCUCAAAAUCAAAGAGUUUGAUGACCACAAAUCGAAGAUAGUUAUACGAUACUAUAUCGAUUGACUUUAGUCUAAGUGGGAGUUGUUAGAAAAUGUGUCCCAAAGUCAAUCGUUAGACGAUUGUGCUCAUCUUGUAAAUUAUAUAUAAAUUUUUAUUAAUAAAAAUUAUUUGAUAUUUUCAUUACAAAUUGAUCAUCUUUGAACUCUUGUAUUGUAAUAAAGUCCUUAGGACUAUAUAUAUU